UACAGAGGGGGCAAGCGUUGUUCGGAAUUACUGGGCGUAAAGGGCGCGUAGGCGGCCUGCUAAGUCGAACGUGAAAUCCCUGGGCUCAACCCAGGAACUGCGUCCGAUACUGGUUGGCUUGAAUCCGGGAGAGGGAUGUGGAAUUCCAGGUGUAGCAGUGAAAUGCGUAGAUAUCUGGAGGAACACCGGUGGCGAAGGCGACAUCCUGGACCGGUAUUGACGCUGAGGCGCGAAAGCCAGGGGAGCAAACGGG
rnacentral:rRNA from 1 species